AAUAUACGCGGCAUGAGGCUGCCUCUCUUGGCCUUCCUUUCUGACAGGAAAGCAGAUGCAGCUAAUGAAGUCAUGGGAGAUAACAGACAGAAGCAUAGGCAAUGCAAUAAAGCCUGAGUUGGGAAAGAGGAGCUUAUCCUACUGUAGCCUGGGUGCCAGCCUACAACAGGCAAGGCCCAAAUCCAAAUGGAGAGGAUGGAUCAACUGUGACCAGCAAAGGUGUCCCACUUUGUCUUGUUUCUGUCUUGCCCCAAAAAACAUCUGGCCUUACUGAGUUGCUGGGUGAAUCUCCUGUGUGCUUACCUAUGCCUGUGUGUUCCAAAUCCAUAAUGAGAAACUUGAAC